rnacentral:tRNA from 1 species
CAUUAGAUAACUUAAAACAAGUAUUGGUCUCUUAAACCACAUUAUAGUAAUUUAGUGCUUACUUCUAAUGA